CAGUCGCCGCGGUAAAACGUAGGGUGCAAGCGUUAAUCGGAAUUACUGGGCGUAAAGCGUGCGCAGGCGGUUAUAUAAGUCAGAUGUGAAAUCCCCGGGCUCAACCUGGGAACUGCAUUUGAGACUGUAUGGCUAGAGUGUGUCAGAGGGGGGUAGAAUUCCACGUGUAGCAGUGAAAUGCGUAGAUAUGUGGAGGAAUACCGAUGGCGAAGGCAGCCCCCUGGGAUAACACUGACGCUCAUGCACGAAAGCGUGGGGAGCAAACAGGAUUAGAUACCCGGUAGUCCCUGUCUCUUAUACA
rnacentral:rRNA from 1 species